rnacentral:rRNA from 1 species
GGCCAUACCACCCUGAAUGCACCUAGUCUUGUCUGACCUUGGAAGCUAAGCAGGGUCAUACCUGGUUAGUACAUGAAUGGGAGAACUGACAAGAAAGUAUGGCGCU